rnacentral:piRNA from 1 species
UGUGCAUAAUCCUGGACUGUGAUGGGA